UCCUCCUGCCAGCCCCACGCUGCUUUGUGAGGCUGGCAUGCCGGAUCAGACUCACAAAGCGGCGUGGGGCUGGCAGGGGUGGU